GAACCGACCGACUCUUCCCGGUAGGGAGAGGCGAUGGCGGAAUUACUCCUCUAAUGUCAAGGUAUUCUAAUCACAGAAUUACUGGAGCAUCAAGAAGUGCCUGCAUGCUUGGAAGGGCUUCCAGGCAGAUGAACACACCUCAGCACCGGGUGGCAUUUUCCCAGGGUGCAACCCGGACCGGCUCUGGGUCACACUGACAAGGACAACAGGGUUAACAAUUUCCAGAGACAGCCCGUACAUAGAAGGAAUGUUUACUGAAAAAAAUGAAGAGGGGUCAGGGCAAGGCGAGGAGCAAGAAGCACCCCCAAGGAAACAGAGAAGACCAGUACAACUGUACCUCUUUGCCAGCUGCACCAUCCGUACCAGUCUCCUGGGGUGGAAGUGUCCAGCACAGAGACUGCCACACUGCAAGACGAAGGGGCUGGACACACGGAAGAGAGAGGCGGAACCCUGCACCCCCUCAACCUCAGCCCUACUGAGUCUCCAAUGGGGCCACGCUUCUGAGUGCACCUCCCCGUGUCAUCUGUAAUGUGAGGGGGAACCAGGCUUGAUAUGGCAUUCCCAAUCCAGGGC
rnacentral:lncRNA from 1 species